CACGUGAGCAACGAGAUCGUAUUUUGUUUCGUGUGUAGUUACAACAACAGCCGCUAUGGCAAACCAGUGCAUUCAUCAACAAGUCACAGUGGAAGUUACGUUCGGAAACUGCAGAUAUCACCAGCCUCGUGUUUUAGGGGUUCCGAUUUUCAGCAGCCAUGGCGAACUGACUGAUAAUCCAGCAGAGGUCUUCCAGUUAAACCUUUCUUGAAGAACAAGUUGUUAAUAAUUGUUAAAAGAAUUCAUACCGUAGAAAACAGUUUUAUUGUUGUUUCUUACUGAACAUGUAAUCUGUUGGUGUGCUUUAAAAUUUCGGGAACAUAAGUUUGUGCACGAAACACUGAGGUAAAGAAGCGACUUAACCACGUGCUUUGUGUAAAGUGAACAGUGAACGCGGUGAAUGCACAGAACUCUGAAAAGAAACCAUCACAGUGAUUCUUCCGCUCAUCAGUACGUCCUAGUGUGAAGUCGACUUAACAACUAGCCCUGCGGUAGGCUGAGGACGGACGAAAUAUUGUGGACACUGUCGUACUCGCACCUGAGAUGUUUCACUGGCAGAAAGAGGGCGAAGAUACAAAGGUUUCCAGGUGAGAGAGGAGAGUUGUCCCCGACUGCCGCGAAACACCAAGCUGGCUGGUGCCACUAGCGCAUGCCAUGACGUCACAGCAGAAUUUGCCCCUAUUGGUGGAACGCGGCUGGGGAGACCCCUGCAUGACUAGGCCACCCAUAAGACAGUUCAGUUCAGUCGGAGCCGAGACACAGUUUGAUUCACAAAGCCUUAAUACCGCCGUUUGCACACGUAAAAAAAACACAAAGCAAUUUUCACCCCACCCCUAUUUUAUUUCAUCCACGAAUCAAAGGGAGACAAUCCCCACCCCUUCUCCCUGAGACCAAUUCCUUGUUUUCAUAAAAAUAACCCUUUCACUGUUACCCCACUUUUAAAAGGAAAUUAAUUUACCUGUGCCGAGUAAGCCAAACUGCCAACGGUGGAUUCCAAAUACUUCAGGAAACGGUUUUCCCUCUCCACCUGUCCAUCACGCACUUCACUCCCCAACCCCCGCUCACCUCCGCAACAUCGACACCACCGCCACUACCAUCAUCACUACCAUCACUGUUGGCCACAAAAUACACAAAUGACAGUGGACGUAAGUGAACCGGCAGAAAAGAUAUUCAACUGAUAGAACAACGACAUCUAGAAAUCAGUUACAGUUGGCGGCAGUUGUUCAUAUUAGUGUGUGGUGAAGUUUUGUGAGACUUUCUUCAACGAAAAUAACAACAAAUUGUUAUCUACAAAACUGUGCAACUAAAAACUUAAACUUAUUUGCUGUGUUAUAAAACAACGAAUAUACAAUUUGUUUUCGCUGCUCUCGCGAAAACAAACAAUUACUGUUGUUACCUCGUGACAUUGUCAUAAGUAAUCACCUUAUCUCUUUACCUUCCUCCUCUUCCGGUCCGCUCCCGCUAUUCACCUUUUGUGGCCUGACGUCACACUUCGUACUUCCUUCCAACUCAUUCAGUUGCUGCUGUUCGGUGAGCGAGUGUCAGUUGCGUUUGGAUGAGGCUAGUGCUACUGUCGUUUUAGUUGUGCUUGCGACGUACAUCUGAACAAUAACACAAUUAGUAUCAAGCGAUAUAUGAAAAAGUGUGGAUUUUCGGGCACGUGAGAGAGUGCCAGUAACUACAAAAUUGUCACGUGUUCUCCAUGCUUCGUGCUUCGUAAGUGCAUCAGCCUCUUUCGGUUCUAACAACGCUCAGCAUCUGAAUUACUUUAAUGGCAUUGAAUAUCAACAUUGGAAGACAUAUUUACAGUGACAUAGUUGAUUAUUAAUUGCUUUAGAGUAGUUUUGUGAUAGGAACUGUUCCGUUCGUGCUUACAUAUCACACAAAAGCCCUGUGACAGUGUGCAAGGUAUUUUUAACCUUGGAGCUGUUGUAUAUUUUUGCACAAAUAAAAGUAGUAUCUCUAUUUAUUGUACUGUGUUUAUAAAGUUGAGACAAAAAGGAAGUGUGAAAAAAAACAUUGGCCAUUAUAUUAGAACAUUAAAUAAUAACGAAAAUAAUAACUAUAUCACACAAAUCGUGGAGAACUACUACAGCACGACGAAAAGAAUUCGAGAACAUUCGAUAGCAGGAGGCAACCUGUCACCGCCAUUGCCGCCACCUGCCCUGAAGCGCCAACGUCGGGAGUCACUGUCGCUGCCUCAGCCAACCGUCCCUCUUGCCCCCUCACAGCAGAACUGCUCGCCGGUUGCAGUCACCAGGAUGAGCAUUAGCGCGGCAAGUAUGGAGGCCCCCAACGCGCUCAGCCAAAGCAUGGACUCUGUCAGCACCGUCACGGGAGAAGAGGAGGUGAGUAACCAAAUCAGCCAC